GACUUGGUGGUGCAUGGUGCACACCCACUUCCUUUAAAGUGGGUCUCAAGAGAAAUUUCCAGUGGGAGGUCCCGGUUCGAUUCCGGGCCAGGUCA